rnacentral:rRNA from 1 species
GCAGUCGAGCGGAACGAGUUGUUUGAACCUUCGGGGGACGACAACGGCGUCGAGCGGCGGACGGGUGAGUAAUGCCUGGGAAAUUGCCCUGAUGUGGGGGAUAACCAUUGGAAACGAUGGCUAAUACCGCAUGAUAGCUUCGGCUCAAAGAGGGGGACCUUCGGGCCUCUCGCGUCAGGAUAUGCCCAGGUGGGAUUAGCUAGUUGGUGAGGUAAGGGCUCACCAAGGCGACGAUCCCUAGCUGGUCUGAGAGGAUGAUCAGCCACACUGGAACUGAGACACGGUCCAGACUCCUACGGGAGGCAGCAGUGGGGAAUAUUGCACAAUGGGCGCAAGCCUGAUGCAGCCAUGCCGCGUGUAUGAAGAAGGCCUUCGGGUUGUAAAGUACUUUCAGCAGUGAGGAAGAUGGUGUGUUUAAUACGUACAUCAUUUGACGUUAGCUGCAGAAGAAGCACCGGCUAACUCCGUGCCAGCAGCCGCGGUAAUACGGAGGGUGCGAGCGUUAAUCGGAAUUACUGGGCGUAAAGCGCAUGCAGGUGGUUUGUUAAGUCAGAUGUGAAAGCCCGGGGCUCAACCUCGGAAUAGCAUUUGAAACUGGCAGACUAGAGUACUGUAGAGGGGGGUAGAAUUUCAGGUGUAGCGGUGAAAUGCGUAGAGAUCUGAAGGAAUACCGGUGGCGAAGGCGGCCCCCUGGACAGAUACUGACACUCAGAUGCGAAAGCGUGGGGAGCAAACAGGAUUAGAUACCCUGGUAGUCCACGCCGUAAACGAUGUCUACUUGGGAGGUUGUGGCCUUGAGCCGUGGCUUUCGGAGCUAACGCGUUAAGUAGACCGCCUGGGGAGUACGGUCGCAAGAUUAAAACUCAAAUGAAUUGACGGGGGCCCGCACAAGCGGUGGAGCAUGUGGUUUAAUUCGAUGCAACGCGAAGAACCUUACCUACUCUUGACAUCCUCAGAAGAGACUGGAGACAGUCUUGUGCCUUCGGGAACUGAGAGACAGGUGCUGCAUGGCUGUCGUCAGCUCGUGUUGUGAAAUGUUGGGUUAAGUCCCGCAACGAGCGCAACCCUUAUCCUUGUUUGCCAGCACUUCGGGUGGGAACUCCAGGG